rnacentral:rRNA from 1 species
GACGAACGCUGGCGGCGUGCCUAAUACAUGCAAGUUGAGCGCUGAAGGUUGGUACUUGUACCAACUGGAUGAGCAGCGAACGGGUGAGUAACGCGUGGGGAAUCUGCCUUUGAGCGGGGGACAACAUUUGGAAACGAAUGCUAAUACCGCAUAAAAACUUUAAACACAAGUUUUAAGUUUGAAAGAUGCCAUUGCAUCACUCAAAGAUGAUCCCGCGUUGUAUUAGCUAGUUGGUGAGGUAAAGGCUCACCAAGGCGAUGAUACAUAGCCGACCUGAGAGGGUGAUCGGCCAAAAUGGGACUGAGACACCGCCCAAACUCCUACGGGAGGCAGCAGGAGGGAAUCUUCGGCAAUGGACGAAAGGCUGACCGAGCAACGCCGCGGGAGGGAAGAAGGGUUUCGGAUCGUAAAACUCUGUUGGUAGAGAAGAACGUUGGUGAGAGUGGAAAGCUCAUCAAGUGACGGUAACUACCCAGAAAGGGACGGCUAACUACGUG